UACACUCCUACGGGAGGCAGCAGUAGGGAAUCUUCCACAAUGGGUGCAAACCUGAUGGAGCAAUGCCGCGUGAGUGAAGAAGGUCUUCGGAUCGUAAAGCUCUGUUGUUAGAGAAGAACACGUGCUAGGUAACUACUAGCGCCUUGACGGUAUCUAACCAGAAAGUCACGGCUAACUACGUGCCAGCAGCCGCGGUAAUACGUAGGUGACAAGCGUUGUCCGGAUUUAUUGGGCGUAAAGGGAGCGCAGGCGGUCUGUUUAGUCUAAUGUGAAAGCCCACGGCUUAACCGUGGAACGGCAUUGGAAACUGACAGACUUGAAUGUAGAAGAGGAAAAUGGAAUUCCAAGUGUAGCGGUGGAAUGCGUAGAUAUUUGGAGGAACACCAGUGGCGAAGGCGAUUUUCUGGUCUAACAUUGACGCUGAGGCUCGAAAGCGUGGGGAGCGAACAGGAUUAGAAACCCGGGUAGUCCCAUGAU
rnacentral:rRNA from 1 species